rnacentral:rRNA from 1 species
GACGAACGCUGGCGGCGUGCCUAAUACAUGCAAGUUGAGCGCUGAAGGUUGGUACUUGUACCAACUGGAUGAGCAGCGAACGGGUGAGUAACGCGUGGGGAAUCUGCCUUUGAGCGGGGGACAACAUUUGGAAACGAAUGCUAAUACCGCAUAAAAACUUUAAACACAAGUUUUAAGUUUGAAAGAUGCAAUUGCAUCACUCAAAGAUGAUCCCGCGUUGUAUUAGCUAGUUGGUGAGGUAAAGGCUCACCAAGGCGAUGAUACAUAGCCGACCUGAGAGGGUGAUCGGCCACAUUGGGACUGAGACACGGCCCAAACGCCUACGGGAGGCAGCAGUAGGGAAUCUUCGGCAAUGGACGAAAGUCUGACCGAGCAACGCCGCGUGAGUGAAGAAGGUUGUCGGAUCGUAAAACUCUGUUGGUAGGGAAGAACGUUGGUGAGAGUGGAAAGCUCAUCAAGUGACGGUAACUACCCAGAAAGGGACGGCUAACUACGUG